AAUCAACGCUGGCGGCGUGCCUAACACAUGCAAGUCGAACGCGAAAGUCCCGCAAGGGAUUAGUAGAGUGGCAAACGGGUGAGUAACACGUGGGUGACCUGCCUUCGAGUGGGGGAUAACGUCCCGAAGGGACGCUAAUACCGCAUAACAUCCUGCCUUUUAAGAGGUGGAGAUCAAAGCUGGGGACCGUAAGGCCUGGCGCUGGAAGAGGGGCCCGCGUCUGAUUAGCUAGUUGGUGGGGUAAAGGCCUACCAAGGCGACGAUGGGUAGCUGGUCUGAGAGGACGAUCAGCCACACUGGGACUGAGACACGGCCCAGACUCCUACGGGAGGCAGCAGUGGGGAAUCUUGCGCAAUGCGCG
rnacentral:rRNA from 1 species